rnacentral:rRNA from 1 species
UGGGGAAUAUUGCACAAUGGGCGCAAGCCUGAUGCAGCCAUGCCGCGUGUAUGAAGAAGGCCUUCGGGUUGUAAAGUACUUUCAGUCGGGAGGAAGGUGGUAAGGUUAAUAACCUUAUCAAUUGACGUUACCGACAGAAGAAGCACCGGCUAACUCCGUGCCAGCAGCCGCGGUAAUACGGAGGGUGCAAGCGUUAAUCGGAAUUACUGGGCGUAAAGCGCACGCAGGCGGUUGAUUGAGUCAGAUGUGAAAUCCCCGGGCUUAACCCAGGAAUUGCAUCUGAUACUGGUCAGCUAGAGUCUUGUAGAGGGGGGUAGAAUUCCAUGUGUAGCGGUGAAAUGCGUAGAGAUGUGGAGGAAUACCGGUGGCGAAGGCGGCCCCCUGGACAAAGACUGACGCUCAGGUGCGAAAGCGUGGGGAGCAAACAGG